AUUGAUACAAACGAGGCAAACAUUUGCUAACCUCAUUUCCUAUCUCUUCAACUAUCAGAACACAAAAGUUGUCACUGUUCUUCUCUUUAACCUAAUUUUUCAUCCAUUCAUAGCAGAUCGAUUGAACACAGAAGUUGGGGAGAAUUGCAAGUAAGUUCUUCAUUUCUCUCAUUUUAGGGCUAGCAUAAACCCAUUUUUGAUUUCUAAUCUAAACCUAUUUCUCUCUUCAAACCUCUUGUGAAAUCUAAGGAAAUAAGGGUUGUAUGUUUUCUUGUAAAAUCGUAGAAAUCUAGAGGUUUUCUUCUUCAACUGCUGGAGGUUCUCUUCUUCAAUCUUUGAGGUUAUAGCUGAAGAAACUACAAGUUUGGGCUUUUGAGGUUUUAUUCUUGAAUCUCUUCUUUUGUCUUUAAUCUUUGGGUGUGGUUAGUGUAUUUGAUGUAUUUCUCUGAUUGUGGGGUUUUUUCCCAUUAAAUUGUAGCUAUUGUGGGUUUAAUGUUUUGUUGGAGUUAUGAUGAAAUUGACUACUCUAGACCAUAUUUAGCUUGACAUUGAUGUUGUAUUUCUUGUCCAUUAGUUAUUCAAUCGGGUUUGAAUACCCUUGGAUUUAUGAUGUCUUCAUUGAUUUCACCUCUCACUUGAGUAGGAUGUCAAAAAUGCACGUUCAUUAUUGUUGAAGAUUUACGUUAGAGCAACAGGAAGCAAGAGAUACAUUAACAUAAAAAUGGAAUAAACUAAAAUUUGCUAUUGGUUCGAAAAGUGAUCUUUUCUGUCAAUCAUCACCAUCCAGAGCACAGCGCCAUCU
rnacentral:lncRNA from 1 species